UACGUAGGGUGCGAGCGUUUAAUCGGAAUUACUGGGCGUAAAGCGCACGUAGGCGGCUUUGUAAGUUAGAGGUGAAAGCCCAGGGCUCAACCCUGGAAUUGCCUUUAAGACUGCAUCGCUUGAACAUCGGAGAGGUAAGUGGAAUUCCGAGUGUAGAGGUGAAAUUCGUAGAUAUUCGGAAGAACACCAGUGGCGAAGGCGACUUACUGGACGAUUGUUGACGCUGAGGUGACGAAAGCGUGGGGAGCAAACAGG
rnacentral:rRNA from 1 species